rnacentral:tRNA from 1 species
GGGGCUGUAGCUCAGAGGCAGAGCGCUUGCCUAGCAUGCAUGAGGCACUGGGUUCAACCCUCAGCACCA